GGGGGGGAAAUUGUAAGGCGUCCCCUCCCCCCUACUUUUCUCCCCUGUAGCCCAGUGGCUGUAGCUCACGUCUCUGUGGCUCGGUGCCAACAGAAAUGCCUAUGGAAAGGAAAGCCUGUUCUCCACAGAGAGCUGAGAGCUUUGUGAAAGAUGAGAAGACAAAGCCUAAUACAGUGAGACUUCUUUAGAACAUUUUCCAGGGAAGUGAACAUUUUGAAUGUUCUACGUGGGAAAACAUGCGCUGGGAGAGCAGUACAAUGACGCACUUCACUGCACUUCCACUUGCCAAACAUUCCAGCGCACCCUGCGCGCGAGGAGAAUAAACUGGCUUAAACAGGAGAUGGUCAGAAGCUCACGAAAGCUUUCCUCCCGCUCCCUCUGUGGUUACACAAAACGGUCAAAACAGGGGCCAGGUCUGUUCUCAAAUACCACGUGCUGGAGGAGGUUGAAAAAUCUCCCAUGGGUCCUUGACUGACUCAGGUGGCUUAAAGAAGGGCAAAACGGUAGCUUUAGAGACGACAGAAAUCACUUGGAGAAGGAACAGACAUCUCCGAGUGGAGAAACUCACAAAAUUGAGGACAAAACCACAGAACACCAGAGAGCCGGGCUGGCCAUACCGCCCUUUGAGCAGCCUGCUGUUACAGAACGGCUGUUGCUUCUGUGUUGGGUGCGCUCUCUCACUUGCUCUCUCUGAAGAAAGCCAGCUGCCAUGCUGUGAGCUGCCUAUGGAGAAGCACACAACACAGCACACCCGCCCUGGAGGAAUUGAACCCUGGCAACAACCGUGUGAGUGAGUUUGGAAUCAGUUCCUCUCCCACUGAGUCCCCACAGAAGACCUCAGCCUCAGCUGACACCUGGACCACAGCCUCAUGAGAGACCUUGCACCAGAGGCACCAAGCUAAGCAACACCCAGAUUUCUGACCCACAGAACCUGUGAGAAAAUAAAUAUCUGUUUUUUU